UACGAAGGGGGCUAGCGUUGUUCGGAAUUACUGGGCGUAAAGGGCGCGUAGGCGGUGUGUCAAGUCAGGCGUGAAGGCUCCGGGCUCAACCUGGGAACCGCGCUUGAGACUGGCACGCUCAAGUUCGGGAGAGGAUGGUGGAAUUCCCAGUGUAGAGGUGAAAUUCGUAGAUAUUGGGAAGAACACCGAUGGCGAAGGCAGCCAUCUGGACCGACACUGACGCUGAGGCGCGAAAGCGUGGGGAGCAAACAGG
rnacentral:rRNA from 1 species